GGAUGUGAGGGUGAUCUGGCUGAGAAAUCUGUCACCCCAUUGAUCACCAGGGUUAAUUCGGCUGAUCUGUCCCCUUCCUCCAUUACCGCUCCAUGUGUGUCCCUCACAAAGCUGCGCACUUGGUCAAAGAGGACGGCCUUCCCGGAAUAGAGACCGGUCUUCUGUCGAGGAUAUAGGAGAAGCUGUGCUGCCCAGCUAGAACCUCUAAACAAGCUCUCAAGAAGUUAUGGGAUUUAUAUUCCAUGGAAUACUACUGUGCAAUCAAAAAGACAAUAUUGGGGGGGGUAGCACUGUGGGAUAAGCACACAUGGCACCAAG
rnacentral:snRNA from 1 species